GACGAACGCUGGCGGCGUGCUUAACACAUGCGAGUCGAACGGAAAGGCCUUUUCGGAGGUACUCGAGUGGCGAACGGGUGAGUAACACGUGGGUGAUCUGCCCUGCACUCUGGGAUAAGCCUGGGAAACUGGGUCUAAUACCGGAUAGGACCGCACUUUAGUGUGUGUGGUGGAAAGUUUUUUCGGUGUAGGAUGAGCCCGCGGCCUAUCAGCUUGUUGGUGGGGUAAUGGCCUACCAAGGCGGCGACGGGUAGCCGGACUGAGAGGUUGGUCGGCCACAUUGGGACUGAGAUACGGCCCAGACUCCGACGGGAGGCAGCAGGGGGGAAUAUUGCACAAUGGGCGCAAGCCUGAUGCAGCGACGCCGCGUGGGGGAUGACGGCCUUCGGGUUGUAAACUCCUUUCGCCAGGGACGAAGCGUUUUGUGACGGUACCUGGAGAAGAAGCACCGGCUAACUACGUG
rnacentral:rRNA from 1 species